rnacentral:rRNA from 1 species
UUUGGAAUUUUGGACAAUGGACGAAAGUCUGAUCCAGCGACGCCGCGUGGACGAUGAAGGCCUUCGGGUUGUAAAGUCCUUUUGCUCGGGAACAAUUUUUGAGCGUACCGAGAGAAUAAGAGGUUGCUAACUCUGUGCCAGCAGCAGCGGUAAUACAGAGACCUCAAGCGUUAUCCGGAAUCAUUGGGCGUAAAGCGUACCGAUCGGUGGUUUACAAAGUCAGAAGUGAAAUCUCUCAGCUUAACUGGGAGACUGUCUUUUGAUACUUGUAAACUUGAGGGGCAAAGAGGAAGCUGGAACAAACGGUGUAGUAGUGAAAUGCGUUGAUAUCGUUUGGAACACCAAUAGCGAAGGCAGGCUUCUGGGUGCCACCUGACACUGCUAGGACGAAAGCGUGGGGAGCGAAUGGGAUUAGAUACCCCUGUAGUCC